rnacentral:rRNA from 1 species
AACGAACGCUGGCGGCGUGGAUAAGACAUGCAAGUCGAACGGGAACUUCAGCUGUAGCAAUACAGUUGAAGUUUUAGUGGCGAACGGGUGCGUAACACGUGGGCAAUCUGCCGAGAAGUGGGGGAUAGCUCGCCGAAAGGCGAAUUAAUACCGCAUAUGAUCAGCUAAGACAUCUUAGCGACAUCAAAGCCGGGGCAACCUGGCGCUUUUUGAGGAGCCCGCGGCCUAUCAGCUAGUUGGUGAGGUAACGGCUCACCAAGGCUAUGACGGGUAGCUGGUCUGAGAGGACGACCAGUCACACUGGAACUGAGACACGGUCCAGACACCUACGGGUGGCAGCAGUCGAGUAAUUUUUCUCAAUGGGG